AGCGAACGCUGGCGGCAGGCCUAACACAUGCAAGUCGAACGGCCGUAGCAAUACGGCAGUGGCAGACGGGAGAGUAACACGUGGGAACGUACCCUUCGGUUCGGAACAACCCAGGGAAACUUGGGCUAAUACCGGAUACGUCCGAAAGGAGAAAGAUUCAUCGCCGAAGGAUCGGCCCGCGUCUGAUUAGCUAGUUGGUGAGGUAAUGGCUCACCAAGGCGACGAUCAGUAGCUGGUCUGAGAGGAUGAUCAGCCACACUGGGACUGAGACACGGCCCAGACUCCUACGGGAGGCAGCAGUGGGGAAUAUUGGACAAUGGGCGCAAGCCUGAUCCAGCCAUGCCGCGUGGGUGAUGAAGGCCCUAGGGUUGUAAAGCCCUUUCGGCGGGGAAGAUAAUGACGGUACCCGCAGAAGAAGCCCCGGCUAACUUCGUGCCAACAGCAGCCGCCGUAA
rnacentral:rRNA from 1 species